GAUGUACUGAGAUUCGUCAUGGAAAGUGGUAUCAAGGGUUGCGAGGUUGUUUCCUUAACUGCUGAGUAAGCUGUCAUGUGCUUCUGUGAGAGUUCUCUUGAUAUCCUAGUUACUUUGGAGCUUACACCAUAGUGAGAGGCAUGGUAGUCUCAAGACAUUUUUUAUAUGUUUCUUUUGGUUUGGCAUCAGCUCUGCGGCUUAAACAUUUCGAUUCUUUCCUGUCACAUGUUAUCGGAACGUCGUCUAUUAGUUGAGCAUGUCGUUAGAACUUACUAGCUAGCUUGGACAUGUGUUGUUCUGAACUAAGAAUUUCAUUCUUAUGUGUAAUUUAAACCCAAUGAAUGAAAGAACGGAAGUUGAAUUCUCAAUUGGAGUUUAAAUUUGAGUUAAAUUUGAAUUUCAGUUUGACUU